CCAAAUAUUUAUCAAAAUCUACCACGAUGACUUUGCCGUGUGGCGGGAGCCUCAGUCCUGCCGUCUGGCGGGGGAGACGGGAGGCACAGAGGAAGGUGGUGUUGCACACAGAUGCACGAAGACGCCUGGAAUCUCAGCUAAGUCAUGUCUCUCUAGCAUUCAUUUCUUCCUGUUCAGCUCUUAUAGUAUCCACCUGUCUGCAUUGUAAACUAAUGUCUGUGAGGUAAUAAAAGAUAGGUAAUGAACUAAUGUGCUGGUGAGGGCCCCCGCAAUCUCCACCAGCAGCCUGGACAGACAACUGAUUCCCUUCUUUCUGCCUUAAUCUGACCCAGCACACCAAACCCUUAAAAGUGACACUUAUCUCUACAUGGAGGCCUUUAGUCUGUUUCCUCAGCAUUGGAUGAUGGGUGCUUACCCUGGGAUAUCUCAUGGAAACAAAGCAUUAAAUGAGAACUAUUGGGAAAUACGUGUUCUCAUAAGAGGGAGUAUCCAGUUAUAAAUGAUCACCCCCAUGACUACUCUUCAUUAAGUGCCGAUUGGAUGUGCUUCUAACAAACUGGUCCCUGCAAAGGUCCCGUAAGGAACUUUUAUUAAUCAAAGGGAGAGAUGCCAUCCACAAUGACAGAAUAAUUUGAUAAUUAGAUAACAGAGUUAUGUGGAGUGUGUGGGAAGAGUCCAGGUGGAGAAACACCUAGAUCUGGAGCAGUCAGGGCAGGGUUCAGGAGGCAGAGUUUGCAUGGGCAUUUGCACAUCUGGCAGACAGAUAAGCAGAAAAGGCUAGCAGAGGCGCAGGGGUAUGGGUGGCCCCAGAUAUUCCUGAAGUUCAAGUACAAAGAGGUGGCUGAAGCAGAAACAAGGUGACAGCAUCCACGCCACACAAGGUUUGACCAUAUAGGUGGCUGAGGACGACACUGAGUGGGGGUCUGGGGGCACUAUGAAAGAUAGUAGAGGUACACAGGGGGGUCAGGACGAAGGCCCAGGAAGAGAACCCAUGGGCCAGGGGCAGUGAGAACAGGCAGAAAAGGAUGCGUGUGUUUAUAAGGCAGAACGGCGGGGGGGACUUAGCGGACCAGGUGGAUCAAGGAGAGCCCAGGAAGAGCCACAAGCUUGCAGCUAGGAAGUAACACAAGAGGAGUCGAUUUGGGCCUGGAAAGGCGAGUAAGGGCAGAGCGAGGGGAGGAGUCUGGUGUGGGACACAGUGAAGAAGGUGGAAAGACAUUCUCUGACGCUCUGCUCUUCAUUCUCCAGAAAGGGUCUAUUCUAAACUCACCUGCUUUGUAACACUUUCCAAAUUCAAUUGUCCACCAUGUCAUUUUCCCAAGGAGCCAUCAGCUCUGUAUCUGCUCCUGUCCUGAAUGCCCUCAACACGAGUGUACUAACCCACCCUUCCUGGUUGUACCCAGUGAACAGUAAAGCCAUGGUAAUCUGUAUAAUCUUACAAGAGAUUUUUUUUAAUUGCCAUCCAUGUCACCAAUUAUUACCUUAAACUUAUUAUAACCUUUUUGUGUUCCUUUUGUUACUUAUUUUUACUAAAAGAAUGAAUAGUUAUCACAGUUUCGAAACUACAUGCAAUUUUUUCUAUUCUAGGUAGCUAUGGCAUUUAUUUACAUGGAACAUUUCAAGCUCAGCAAAGCAGUGUUUAGACUUUUAAAAUUACCCAAGCUGACUCUCUUUGAGGUGGAGGUGAUCAUGAGGGCAAGAGGCAAGAGCCAUGUUCCGGAAGCUAAGAAAAUAGCAAAGGUGUUGAUCCUGACAGAGCUGAGCUACUGAACGUCAGAACAGCUUUUUAGGUGAGACAACUCUUGUAUGAUUAAGUGAUCAAGGUCAUUCCCUUGGUUACCAGCAGAACCAAGGCUACACCCCCCAGGCUCUUGGAAUCCAGGUCAGCUCCAGUGCCAUUUUGGCAAAGAACGCCAACACCACUUACUUCAUUAAGAAUAUAAACACAAGGUUGAAAAAUUCACAUUGUCAUUUCGGCUGGGAGAGAGAGCAACAGUAUUUGCCUCCCAACAUUGCAUUUACCUUCAGCAGCCAGCUCAGACGGAGGGAAAGGAAGUCGAAGAUUUCGAAGCAACCCCUUGGCAGUCAGUCGUACGUGAAUGGUGGAUAAGGAGAAUUUGGGAGACAACAACAUGUCUUCAGAGCAGGUGAAAAGAUUUCGCAGAAGAAACAGCUUCCAGGCACGGUCACAUACUGUCUUUUUAAACUCGGUACUCUUCAAAGCCAAGAAAUAACAGCGGGAGAAAACAUGCCUACAUAGCAAAUGUCAUUCCACUGCACAUACACAAAAGAAAAAAAAAAAAACAAAAACCCGAGCUCUCCAAGGGUUCCUGGCUUCUGUUUUCACUUCCAGAUGUUGUCCAAACAAUACUCUUCGUCUGAAUAAAAUCUCCUCUUAGUGGA